rfam:Clostridium perfringens cpa gene, group II intron.
GAACGCCGUAUGCGGUGAAAGUCGCACGUACGGUGUGGAGCGGGGGAAAAAUUGGAGAUAACAUCAAAGAUUUACCUAUCGCUAU